AUGGAGGAGCAAAUUGAAAGAGAAGAAAUGGAUUGGAAUUAUGAUUCAUCUGAUGAGGACUACAACUAUGAUGAAGAUUCAGAUGCUCAUAUAAGGAAGAGGAAGAGUACAUUCCCAAGAUACAACACUGAAAGUGAAGUACCACAUUUUGCUUUAACCAUGGUUUUUAGAAGCAAGAAUUAGUUGUGCAAAGCUUUGAGAAGAUAUGGACUAGUAACAAAGAGGAGCAUCAAGUUCAUGAAAUCUGAGAGUGAUAGAGUAAGGGCAAAGUGUGGAUGGCCUGGCUGCCCAUGGCUUAUAUAUGCAGGCAAGAGAUCAAGAACUUCAAGAUUCCAAGUCAUAACAUAUAAUGAUGAUCACCAAUGUGCACAGAACAGAUGCAACAAGUUGGUUACUGCAAAGGUGAUUGCACAGAGGUAUGAGCACUUCAUAUUGGCAAACCCUAUGUGGAAAAUUGAGAGCAUGAAAGCAACUGUUUUGCAAGAUAUGUUUGCUGAUGUCUCCACUUCAAAGUGCAAUCAUGCAAAAAGAAUUGUCAUGGAUAAAUUAUUGCGUGGAAUGAACAAUGAAUACACUAGAGUGUUUGACUACCAACUUGAGCUACUAAGGAGCAACCCUGGAAGCACAGUUGUUGUUUGCAUGGAUCCAACCAACAUGGAGGAAAGUGCAUUCCAGAGCUUCUAUGUGUGCUUUAAUGCAGUGAAGCAAGGAUUCAAGGCUGGUUGCAAAAAAUUAAUAGGCCUUCAUGGUUGUUUCUUUAAAGGUGCAGUGAAGGGUGUGCUAUUGUGUGCCAUGGGUAGAGAUGCAAAUAAUCAGAUGUAUCCACUAGCCUGGGCUGUAGUUGAGAAUGAAACUAAUAUAACAUGGAAGUGGUUUGUUGGGCUGAUCAUUAAGGACUUCGAAAUAAACAAUAAUGGAGCUGGUUGGGUUAUUAUUUCUGAUCAGCAGAAGGGCUUGACAAAUGCAGUGAAUGAUUACCUGUCUGCUGUAGAGUAUAGGAUGUGUGCUAGGCACAUUUAUGCUAAUUGGAGGAAGAAACAUAGAGAUCAUGAGUGGCAAAAGAAAUUAUGGGCAGUUGCUAAGGCUUCCAAUAGACAAGAUUUCAACUAUUACAAGGCCAAGCUUGCAUAG
rnacentral:rRNA from 1 species